GGAUGCGAUCAUACCAGCACUAAAGCACCGGAUCCCAUUAGAACUCCGAAGUUAAACGUGCUUGGGCGAGAGUAGUACUAGGAUGGGUGACCUCUUGGGAAGUCCUCGUGUUGCAUUCC
rnacentral:rRNA from 1 species